rnacentral:rRNA from 1 species
GAUGAACGCUGGCGGCGUGCCUAAUACAUGCAAGUCGAGCGAACAGACGAGGAGCUUGCUCCUCUGACGUUAGCGGCGGACGGGUGAGUAACACGUGGAUAACCUACCUAUAAGACUGGGAUAACUUCGGGAAACCGGAGCUAAUACCGGAUAAUAUAUUGAACCGCAUGGUUCAAUAGUGAAAGACGGUUUUGCUGUCACUUAUAGAUGGAUCCGCGCCGCAUUAGCUAGUUGGUAAGGUAACGGCUUACCAAGGCGACGAUGCGUAGCCGACCUGAGAGGGUGAUCGGCCACACGGGAACUGAGACACGGUCCAGACUCCUGCGGGAGGCAGCAGUAGGGAAUCUUCCGCAAUGGGCGAGAGCCUGACGGAGCAACGCCGCGUGAGUGAUGAAGGUCUUCGGAUCGUAAAACUCUGUUAUUAGGGAAGAACAAAUGUGUAAGUAACUAUGCACGUCUUGACGGUACCUGAUCAGAAAGCCACGGCUAACUACGUG